GCGAACGCUGGCGGCAGGCUUAACACAUGCAAGUCGAACGGGCGUAGCAAUACGUCAGUGGCAGACGGGUGAGUAACGCGUGGGAACGUACCUUUUGGUUCGGAACAACUGAGGGAAACUUCAGCUAAUACCGGAUAAGCCCUUACGGGGAAAGAUUUAUCGCCGAAAGAUCGGCCCGCGUCUGAUUAGCUAGUUGGUGAGGUAAUGGCUCACCAAGGCGACGAUCAGUAGCUGGUCUGAGAGGAUGAUCAGCCACAUUGGGACUGAGACACGGCCCAAACUCCUACGGGAGGCAGCAGUGGGGAAUAUUGGACAAUGGGGGAAACCCUGAUCCAGCCAUGCCGCGUGAGUGAUGAAGGCCCUAGGGUUGUAAAGCUCUUUUGUGCGGGAAGAUAAUGACGGUACCGCAAGAAUAAGCCCCGGCUAACUUCGUGCCAGCAGCCGCGGUAAUACGAAGGGGGCUAGCGUUGCUCGGAAUCACUGGGCGUAAAGGGUGCGUAGGCGGGUCUUUAAGUCAGGGGUGAAAUCCUGGAGCUCAACUCCAGAACUGCCUUUGAUACUGAGGAUCUUGAGUUCGGGAGAGGUGAGUGGAACUGCGAGUGUAGAGGCGAAAUUCGUAGAUAUUCGCAAGAACACCAGUGGCGAAGGCGGCUCACUGGCCCGAUACUGACGCUGAGGCACGAAAGCGUGGGGAGCAAAUAGG
rnacentral:rRNA from 1 species